rnacentral:rRNA from 1 species
CCUACGGGCGGCUGCAGUGAGGAAUAUUGGUCAAUGGUCGGGAGACUGAACCAGCCAAGCCGCGUGAGGGAUGAAGGUACAGAGUAUCGUAAACCUCUUUUGUCAGGGAACAAAGGCGGGGACGUGUCCCCGGCUGAGUGUACCUGAAGAAAAAGCAUCGGCUAACUCCGUGCCAGCAGCCGCGGUAAUACGGAGGAUGCGAGCGUUAUCCGGAUUUAUUGGGUUUAAAGGGUGCGCAGGCGGUCUGUUAAGUCAGCGGUCAAAGCCCGGGGCUCAACCCCGGCCCGCCGUUGAAACUGGCAGUCUCGAGUUGGAGAGAAGUAUGCGGAAUGCGCGGUGUAGCGGUGAAAUGCAUAGAUAUCGCGCAGAACUCCGAUUGCGAAGGCAGCAUGCCGGCGCCACACUGACGCUGAGGCACGAAAGCGUGGGUAUCGAACAGGAUUAGAUACCCCGAGUAGUC